CCGAGGGCAUUCUCACCACAUUUUUUCAUAGAUUUGACAUUUCCCAACUCAAAUCUCGCGCCCGGAGUCUACUACACUUCCACUACUCAAGGAGAAACAUUCCUUCCAAGCUCUUCUAACCCAAAUGGAGAACAACACUUGUCUCGACAUGUCAUAGAGUUGACGAGCGCCCUCGCACAGCAGACGACCUUGGUGAACCAGCUCUUAUAGCACACCGAGAUGUAAUGUGCCCCAGAUAAGGUGUCCCGAA
rnacentral:lncRNA from 1 species